rnacentral:lncRNA from 1 species
AUGCAACUCAACUACGUCUUACUUUUCACGUCUGUAAAAGACCUUGAAGUACUUACCAAACUGGUUGCGCCUCAGAAUCCCAUGGGGAAGCAGAAACACAAGGACAAAGCCUCAACCCAUUCCGAGAUUCUGUGUAGUACUGGGAUAAGGCGCCCCCCAAAUCUCCCAGGUGGUUCUGAUACACUACCACGUGUUUCAGGUUCACCAUACUUAGUCCACAGUUCCAUGAAAGACUCCGCCCAGGGCCCCGCCCCCGCCCCACCUUUUGCCCUCUACCUCCCGGUGACGUUAGCUCAUUUCCCCUCCUUCUGUGCCUCCACUUGGUCUCGCCUAGCUCCGCCCCUCCCACUCCGCUUGCUGCCUCCCAAGAUGGCUACGCUGUUGCCGGGCCCGGAGCCGUGGAACCGGGUGAGGAUCCCUAAGGCAGGGAGCCGUAGCGCAGUGACCGUACAGGACCCAGAUACGGCGCUAGACCUUUGCAUUGCAGCUAUAAUUAAAGAAUGCUGUCGCAUUACAUUGUCACUGAAGAGCCGAACCUUAGAUGCAGAGACAGAUGUAUUAUGCGCAAUCCUUUACAGCAAUCACAACAGAAUGGGGCGCCAUAAGCCCCAUUUGGCCCUCAGACAGGUUGAACAGUGUUUAAAACGUUUGAAAAACAUGAAUUUGGAAGGUUCAAUUCAAGAUCUCUCAGAGUCAUUUUCUUCUAAUGAAAAUCAGCCUAUAAAUACCAAAGCAUGUGUCAUCCCCAGCCAACCAGUGGUGGAACUGGUGUUGAUGAAGAUUUUGGGAGCCUGCAAGUUGCUGCUUCGCCUGUUGGACUGUUGCUGCAAGACAUUUCUCUUGACUGUGAAACAUCUAGGUUUGCAAGAAUUCAUUAUUUUAAACCUUGUGAUGGUUGGCCUCGUGAGCAGGUUAUGGGUUCUGUAUAAAGAUGUUUUAAAAAAGCUGGUUUCUUUAUAUGAACCAUUGUUUGGAUUACUUCAAGAGGUCUCCAGGAUUCAACCAUUGCCUUACUUCAAAGGUUUUACCUUUCCUUCUGAUAUUGUUGAAUUUUUAGGAGAGCCCUAUUUUGAAGUCUUUAAGAAAAAAAUGCCUACAGCUUUUGUAGCUAAAGGAGUAACCAAACUGCUAAAUAAACUAUUUUUAACAAAAGAGCAAUCACAGAGGUCGGGUGAAGAAACUUUACUUAGAAUUUCUGAAAAAGCUAAACAAAUGAAGAUCAAUAUACCAAAUAACAUGGAUCUUGGACAACCAGUAAAGAGUAAGAAAAUCUUAAAAGAAAAGUCAUCAGAAUUUGAUGUGAGAGCUUUCUGCAAACAGCUGAAACAAAAAGCUAUUCAGGAGAAGAACUUUGAGUUUAAAUGUUCUCCAUCCAAACUAAAGGCAACCAAACAUUCUUCUCAGAAAGCAAUAGGAACUCCCUGUGUAAAAAGUCUUGUGCAAAGAUUCCGAGAGGCUGAGACUUUCACACAACUUUCUGAAGAAAUCCAAAUGGCAAUUCUGUGGUGUAGAAGCAAAAAACUGAAGGUUCAGACCACCUUUCUGGGUAACAAACUUCUUAAAAGUAAUCGGCUUAAACAUGUGGAAGCUCAAGGCUCUAGUUUGCCAAAGAAGCUACAGUGCAUGAAAACAUCUAUUUGCAACUGCCUUCUUCAUGGCUUAGGUAUGAAAACUUCGAAGCAUCACCUGAGACAAAGAAGAUCACAGAAUAAAUUUUCACUGAAAGGAAGGAAAGAGAGAAAGUUGCAGUCGACUCUUUCAAAGGAAAUCCAGCAGCCCCCUCGAGGGACUCAGAGUGCUACGGAUGUCAUUAAAGGGAGACUCUCAGAUUCUACUGUUUGUAGGACUGAUGUGUACCCUAACAAUAAGCAAGUGUUGAAUAGGAGAGUUUCAGAUCCUUUCAUACAAACUAAGGAGACACAAACUCAUGAAAAGCUUACAGAAAGCAAUGAAAAUGAGGCGGGUUCUUGGACAGUGAUGCAAGGAAAUAAACAUAAUACAUCAGGAACCACUAAGGAGACAGACGACAUUGAUGAUAUUUUUGCUUUAAUGGGAGUUUAG